AAUAGAUACCCGGGUAGUCCACGCCGUAAACGAUGAGCACUAGAUGUAGGGGGUAUCGACCCCCUCUGUGUCGAAGCUAACGCGAUAAGUGCUCCGCCUGGGGACUACGGCCGCAAGGCUAAAACCCAAAGGAAUUGACGGGGGCCCGCACAAGCAGCGGAGCGUGUGGUUUAAUUCGAUGAUACGCGAAGAACCUCACCCAGGUUUGACAUGCAUGUGGUACGGAUGUGAAAGCUGAAGGACCCUUCGGGGAGCAUGCACAGGUGUUGCACGGCCGUCGUCAGCUCGUGCCGUGAGGUGUUGGGUUAAGUCCCGCAACGAGCGCAACCCCUGUCGCCAGUUGUACUUUUCUGGCGAGACUGCCGAGAAAACCUCGGAGGAAGGAGGGGAUGAUGUCAGGUCAGCGUGGCCCUUACGCCUGGGGCUACACACACGCUACAAUGGGCAGUACAAAGGGUCGCGAAGCGGCGACGUGGAGCUAAUCCCAUCAAAACUGUCCUCAGUUCGGAUUGCAGGCUGAAACCCG
rnacentral:rRNA from 1 species